rnacentral:lncRNA from 1 species
UUUCCAACUUGAAAUCUGGAAAUUCAAAGUGUAAAUCUUGUUAAUGCAAGUUUAUAAUCUGAUUUCUAGCAUCAUCAUCUCUUUUUUUUGAAUUUAGAAGAUUAGCUAAAAUCCAACAAGGAACGCAAGGUGGAAGCUUUGGGCAAACAAGGUAAGUGAUUUCUGUAAUCACUUCUUAUUUUAUUUAAGUAAAGUAGCGUUAGUUGAUUAAGCAUGAUGAGGUUUGAAGUUUCAUAUGGUUUUGUUCGUAUGAAAUUGGUAAUUUUAGCUUAGUAGACCGAAUGGGACAAUAUAAAGUUGUAAUGAUAUGACGAAUAAUGUCUAUGUAAUGGCUACGGUAUGUAACCGGGUAAUGGGUAAAAUUGCACAUAAGUGCACCAACCGAGAAUGGGGACUUAGGUUAAUGGGUCAAAGUGAAGGUAUACUUUAGCACGGAACGUUUGUACAAGCAAUGUCGAUAGUAUUUCAUGUGCCCGGUUAGUGUAAGGUGUUAUAACAUUAACAUUAUGUGAGCCUUAAGUGUAAACAUAUGAGUUGUUGAUAAAUGCAUGACGGGUCGAAUAAUUCGUAAUGAAUAAUAAGCCGAAAAUGUAUAAGUUAAGAAUUUCCUUAACCCGGAUGUUGGAUUUUAAGUUCACAUAAUAGAAUGUUAGUUUACAAUCAUGCAGGAAGAAACGGGAGGUUAAUCGGGUAAACGGUUUAAAAGCUAUGCAAGUUUUUGUGCGUGCGAACGACAAAACAACACAGCAGAAAAAUGGCAAAACUAGAGGCCGUCGCCGACGCC